GAUGAAGAACGCAGCUAAAUGCGAUACGUAAUGUGAAUUGCAAAUUCAGUGAAUCAUCGAGUCUUUGAACGCACAUUGCGCCCCCUGGUAUUCCGGGGGGCAUGCCUGUCCGAGCGUCAUUGCUGCCCUCAAGCACGGCUUGUGUGUUGGGCCCCGUCCUCCGAUUCCGGGGGACGGGCCCGAAAGGCAGCGGCGGCACCGCGUCCGGUCCUCGAGCGUAUGGGGCUUUGUCACCCGCUCUGUAGGCCCGGCCGGCGCUUGCCGAUCAACCCAAAUUUUUAUCCAGGUUGACCUCGGAUCAGGUAGGGAUACCCGCUGAACUUAAGCAUAUCAAUAAGCGGAGGA
rnacentral:misc_RNA from 1 species